rnacentral:rRNA from 1 species
ACGAAGGGGGCUAGCGUUGCUCGGAAUCACUGGGCGUAAAGGGUGCGUAGGCGGGUCUUUAAGUCAGGGGUGAAAUCCCUCAGCUCAACUGGGGAACUGCGUCUGAGACUGGCGGGCUCGAGUGCAGGAGAGGAACGCGGAAUUCCAGGUGUAGCGGUGAAAUGCGUAGAUAUCUGGAGGAACACCGGUGGCGAAGGCGGCGUUCUGGACUGUUACUGACACUGAGGAACGAAAGCCAGGGGAGCAAACGGGA